GUUUACCUUAGACACCAACUAGUUUAAUUAGUUUUGAUUAGAUCAACCUAAUAGUUCGUGCUAGACCGCUUAGCCAAGAAUCAAGUCCAUUUGAUUCUCGUUAAAGACAUAGACUUGACCAACUACAACUAUUGAAAUUGAUCUAGAGAAUCUUUGACCUAAUCUAAGACAACAAUUGAUUAGAUUUAGUCAAUUCUCUAAUUA
rnacentral:lncRNA from 1 species